AUGAAUAACAAUACGCUCAUCAUCACCACCAGCACCAGCAGUAUCAGUAGGGAUGGCAGCGUCGACGGUAAACCGAACCGUGUCCAUUUCCUGCUGCCGGCGUACCAAACCACGGUCAAGCAACCUGACCACUCUGACGGUGCCACUGAAUUCAAUAACCCUGAGGAGGGUGAUGCCGUCUGGGUACCGCCAGAGCCGGCCACCAACGAUGAUGAUACCAACCAUUUGGGCGUGCACACAAAUGAUGAUGAUGACGACGACGAUGAUGAAUGGCAUGAUGGUAUCAGUUGGGGGCAGCCAAGCUCCAGUGACUCUGAACCCAGCCCAAGUCCUAGUCCCAGGGAGGACCGGCACACCGGGAUGCUCAAGGCCAUGGACAAGCAGCUAAAGAUGCUCACAACCCGAUUCCUAACGUCUGCAGGCAUAUCCUUGCCCCACGAAGAUGACGGCGGCGAAAGCUGGCUCGACAUCGUAACCGCCCUGUCCUGGGAGGCUGCUCUGCUCAUCAAGCCUGACGGCAAAGCCGGAAAUGAAAUGGACCCUGGGUCUUAUAUCAAGGUCAAGCGCGUCGCCUCCGGCACCCGCCGACAGUGUGAGGUGAUCAACGGGUUGGUGUUCAGGAAGUAUGCAGCUCACAAGCACAUGCCCACCAAGUGCCACAACCCCAAGCUGCUGCUGCUCGGAGGCACCCUCGGGGACUCCGAUGUCGGUCUAUCAUCAUUUGAUUCCAUGGGGCAGGAAAAGGACCAUUUGGAAAAGGCCAUCAGCCAAGUGAUGGAGAAAUGUGCUCCAGAUGUCAUCCUGGUGGAGAAAACAGUUUCACGGGACAUACAGGAGCUUCUACUGAACCAAGGUGUCACUCUGGUGCUCGAUAUGAAGCUCGACCGGUUGCAGAGAAUUGCUCGCUGUUCUGGAUCUCCUAUAGUCUCUGUCUUAGACAUCAUGACCACGACGAAGCUGAAGCAGUGCGACUAUUUCCACAUAGAAAAGAUGGUGGAGGAGCAUAACAGUGCCGGUGAUGGAGGGAAGAGGACAUUGAAAACAUUGAUGUUCUUGGAAGGCUUUCCCAGGCCGUUGGGCUGCACGAUAUUAUUGCGAGGAGCAAAUAGCGAAGAACUGAAGAAAGUCAAGCAAGUCAUGCUCUACACCGUGUUUGCAGCGUACCACCUGGUUCUUGAGGCAUCCUUCUUUGAAGAUCAGAGGGUAUUCUUGAAUGCUCCAAACUCUGUUGGUAUGAAGGAAGGGCCAUCAUUUCCUGUCAGUCAUGCAGAGAAUGGUGUCAGGUAUAACAGAUCCGUGGAGCACAUUUCUGAUGCAGAGGCAAGUACUGCUCAUUCUGCAAAUUCAGAUGCCUUACACUCACCGACGGAUGGCUGCUCGAGUGGGCUCACGGAGGGUGCAAGUAAAACCAUCCAUUCAAAUCAUGCACUUCCUUCUGAAAAAAUGCUAGUAACACCAGUCUCGGGAUCACUGAGAGGAUUCAUCGAUAAAUUCCGCCAUCAGAAUAUUUAUCUACCUGUCACUUCUCAAGAGACAGCUGAUCACCAGAAAGAAGGUACACCUGAGCUCAAUCAAGAAGUACCAAGUGAAGGUCUUCAUGCCAUGGUAAUGACUGAUGGACCAGUUGAUUAUUCCGGUGAGUACACGGAUAGUUUAAAAGAUUUCCAGAAACAAACAGAUCAGCAAAUGAUGCUGGCUGGUCAUCCAACAAUUGGAAAACAUGAGCAAUUGUCAGUUGCAUUUGAAAAUGAGGAGCAACACAGCACCCCUUACAGUGAAGAGAAAACCUUACACAUUGACGAGGCUGAUGACGUGUUGGAUUCUCAAAGCAUACUGAUUUUGAUGUCUAGCCAAUGCAUCGCAAAACAGGUCAUUUGUGAGCAGAGUCAUCUGUCCCGUAUCAAUUAUUAUGGAAAUUUUGACGUCUCCUUAGGACGAUAUUUGCAAGACAUUUUGCAGAAUCAGAACCUAAGCUGUUUCUCAUGCGGAGAGCCUCCGGAGGCUCACAUGUACUCUUACACCCACCGCGAUGGUAACCUGACAGUUCUUGUGAAGCGUUUGCUGCCUGAGCAUCGCUUGUCUGGUGAAUCCAAAGGAAAAAUUUGGAUGUGGACUAGAUGCCUAAGAUGUGAGCAGGAAAGCAGAAUAUCCAAAUCAUCUCGAAGAGUGAUGAUGUCGGCUGAGGCACGGAAUCUCUCAUUCGGGAAGUUCCUUGAACUCAGCUUUUCAAGCCACUCUGCUGAUAGAAGGCUAUCAGUGUGUGGACACUCGGUGAACAGGGACUGCUUGCGCUUUUUUGGGCUGGGCUCCAAAGUUGCAAUGUUUCAGUAUUCAUCAGUCGAAAUAUACAACGCCUGCAAACCACAGCAAACCCUUGAGUUCCAUAAUCCCAGUACACAUGAGUUGUUCGAGCAACAGGGAAGAAAUGUUCUUGCCAGAGGAGUUACCAUUUUCACUGAAGUUGAAAACAUAAUAGAGCACAUGAAGAAUCAGUUUCCUGAGGUGGUGAUCAACUGCGGCACCAUCCUUCCCGUUGAAGAGUUUUCUCAACUCGAAGAGAUGUUGGUUAAUGAGAAAGCCGAGUUUGUGGAUUUUCUCAUGAAGGCUGUUGAUCGGCAUGGGGUGUCUAGGUCCUCGGUGCAUGAGAUUCUUCAUGUAAAUUGGCUCUAUCAGGACCUUCUGCUUGGACAGUAUGUCUGGGACCGUCGGUUGCAUGGACUUCUACUUUGUAAAUCUGCUGGAAAAGAAAGAAUGAGUAACAGCAUGAAGAAGGUGACUAUUGAACUUACUCAUGACCGAACGGCAACUGGAGCCGAGGCCGAUGAUAUCGCCGAGGAAAAUGGAUCUAUUGAGCCAGUGCAGUUUGGUGAACUGGGGGUGAACAGACAUUCAUCAGCAGUGACUGAUGAAACCCAUCAGGAUAGGCACUAUGAAAAGCAAGCUAGCGCACCGUCCAGAACAUCAGGUAUAUUGGAUGCUCAGGGGCAGGGAAAUGGUCCAAUGGUACAACGUUCGAUAUCCUUUAAGCAAGAGCCACUUGGUAUUCAACAAUUCAGAGUUUCUGAAUGGGAGGACAGGGAGAAAUGGGUCUGGAGUCCACUUAGUGAGUUAAGAUUGGCUUACAGGCAGGAGCUUCAGGCCGGAUGUGUGGAAAAAUUUGAGCUUGUUAACCGCUACUCGCCAUCUCAUCUGCCACCCUUGCACAAACAAUCUGCUGAAGAGGUGCCCUCUCCACGGUUCGUCGUUGGUCCGGGUGGCAAUGUCUUGUCUGUGUCAGAGGAUGAGAUAUCCAGCAUAAUCUCCCGUGCUCUCACCAUGUCCGAGGACCGCCGCCACCUGCUGGAUUCUAUUGUCGAGAGUCAUGCAUCAGACACUACUAGCAUGUUAUCCGAAUCUUCCUCUUCCGCCUCUUCAUCAUCCUGGUCAUCUGAAUCUUCAGAUUCUGAAGCAGGCUUUUUGUCCGACGAACUGUACAACUACGACAGCUCGCUCCUGUCAUCCUCCCUCCAUCCGGAGAUAUCUGUCAACGGGAAAGCAAAUCUCAAAGGAAAAUAUUCAGUUAUAUGUGUGCACGCUAAUCAGUUCUACACUCUUAGACAGAAAUGCUGUCCAUCUGAGCUUGCAUACGUCGCUUCCUUAAGCCGAUGCAAGAAAUGGAACGCGCAAGGCGGAAAGAGCAAGGCUUUCUUUGCGAAAACAAUGGAUGGCAGGUUCAUCGUCAAGCAAAUACAGAAGACAGAGUUCGAGUCUUUCAUAGAGUUUGCCCCGGAUUACUUCAAGCAUGUUUACCACUCUCUCGACACCGGGAGCCAAACCUGCCUUGCCAAAAUUCUAGGCAUCUAUCAGGUUAAGCAGAUAAGGCAUGGCAAGGAAGUGAAGAUUGAUCUGAUGGUGAUGGAAAAUCUCCUCUUUGGACACAAUGUGUCACGGAUAUACGAUCUUAAAGGUGCGGUUUUCUCUCGAUACAUAGCUGACUCGAGUGACCCUCACACUGUCUACUUGGAUCAAAACUUUGUGGAGGACAUGCGUGUUUCUCCAAUCUAUAUUGGUGGAAGAACAAAACAUCUCUUGCAGCGGGCGAUCUGGAACGAUACAUCUUUUCUCACGUCAGUUAAUGUUAUGGAUUACUCUCUACUAGUGGGAGUCGAUGAACAAAACCAUGAAUUUGUACUUGGCAUCAUCGAUUACCUGAGGCAAUACACAUGGGACAAGCAACUGGAGACAUGGGCGAAAACUUCUCUCGUAGUGCCGAAGAAUGAGUCGCCGACAGUGAUUUCACCCAGGGAGUACAAGAAAAGGUUCAGGAAGUUCAUGGCCAAGUAUUUCCUAACGGUCCCAGAUGAUUGGACCACCGCGAAGAAGAGUUCAGGGACCUGUAAAUAUUGCACUCGCGGCAACUGUAACUUGUCAAAGAUCGACAGCCAGAAGCCUCAACUUCGAGCCGAGUCGUGCUCUAUCCAGUGA
rnacentral:rRNA from 1 species